rnacentral:rRNA from 1 species
AUGACAAAACCAAAAAGAGGAGGAGGCAUCAGCUUCAGAGACAUGUAUCUUUUCAAUCAAGCAUUUCUAGCGAGACAGGGAUGGAGGUUGAUCCAAUACCCGGAUAGCUUGUGUGCAAGGGUCCUCAAGUCAAAAUACUAUCCCAAAGGGAAUCUGCUAGACACGGAUUUUGCAUCUGAUGCUUCUCUGACCUGGAGAGGAAUUGAAUUCGGCGUAGAGCUUCUAAAGAAAGGGCUAAUUUGGAGAGUGGGUAAUGGAAAGAACAUCCAAAUCCAAAGGGACCGGUGGAUUCCAAGGAAAGAGGGUCUUAAAGUUGCUAAUUUCACAUGCAGAUCGAGACUGAGAUGGGUUAACCAGCUUAUUGAUCUGGUCUCUAAUGAGUUGGACCGGGAACUUAUCAACCGGAUCUUCUCUCCUUUCGAUGCCUCUGAAAUUGUCAGGAUAAUAAUACCAAGGGGGGAGAUCGAGGAUUGUGUGGCUUGGCACUACGAGAAAUCUGGCAAUUUCACUGUCAAGAGUGCCUACAAGCUAGCGAUGGCGAUGAAGAGGAGCGGCCCCCAGACCUCUAGCUCCACGGCAAGUGUUGACGAUCGCAGCAGCUGGGACCUUAUUUGGAAAGAGAAAAUCCCUGGGAAAAUCAAAAUUUUCGGAUGGAGGGUGGCUACAAACACUCUAGCUACCAAAUCUAACAAGUGCAGACGAAUGCUUGAGACAGACAGCACCUGUGUCAUUUGCGGCAACGCGGAGGAAGAUGAGUUUCAUACUGUGGUAUCGUGCAUGAAAAGUAAAGCCCUGAGACAAGCAAUGUGA